rnacentral:ncRNA from 2 species
AUGGCGUUGGAGUGUUACGGUUGUCGCGCAAGGAAUCGGCGUCAGGGAAUCCGGUGUGAAUCCGGAACUGUCGCGCAGCGGUGAGAGGGAUCCAUCCCCCGCAUGAGGCCACUGGAGUGCACUGCACGGUCCGGGAAGGCGCGGGGGAGUCGCCUUCGAGUCCGAAGACCCGCCGGUUCGUCAUCGACGUC